rnacentral:lncRNA from 1 species
UGGCAUUUUGUUUAUGUUUUUUCUUAUUUGUUCUUUUGCAGUUGUCUUCUAAACAAAUUUAGUCAAGUUUCGAAAACAAAUUAUUGGUAGCUUACUAGCUUAUAUAGAAUUAAUUCUAGGAGAAGUUGCAGCAGAGUGCAAUUUUAUAUGCAAUGCACAGCCACAGACACCAUCUUUUCUUCAAUAUGCUUUUCUUUUUGAGCUGUUUUGUUAGAGCAUUAAUGCACAGAAUGAUAGUAGUAACAUCGCAGUAGAAAGAUGGAGGAUUCUUAGUGGGAAGAACAACUUGGAAGGAGUACUAUUAGAUUGACCUGCCC